UACGUAGGUGGCAAGCGUUGUCCGGAAUUAUUGGGCGUAAAGCGCGCGCAGGCGGUUCCUUAAGUCUGAUGUGAAAGCCCACGGCUCAACCGUGGAGGGUCAUUGGAAACUGGGGAACUUGAGUGCAGAAGAGAAGAGCGGAAUUCCACGUGUAGCGGUGAAAUGCGUAGAGAUGUGGAGGAACACCAGUGGCGAAGGCGGCUCUUUGGUCUGUAACUGACGCUGAGGCGCGAAAGCGUGGGGAG
rnacentral:rRNA from 1 species